rnacentral:rRNA from 1 species
CCAAUAGCGUAUAUUAAAGUUGUUGCAGUUAAAAAGCUCGUAGUUGAAUUUCGGGGUCAGUAGGCUGGUCAUGCCACUGGUAUGUACUGGUCUUACUGAUUCCUCCUUCCUGACGAACCGUAAUGCCAUUAAUUUGGUGUUGCGGGGAAUUUGGACUGUUACUUUGAAAAAAUUAGAUUGUUUAAAGCAGGCUAACGCUUGAAUACAUUAGCAUGGACUAAUGGACUAGGCCGGUCGAUCCUAUUUUGUUGGUUUCUAGGAUUGACGUAAUGAUUAAUAGGGAUAGUUGGGGGCAUUAGUAUUCAAUUGUCAGAGGUGAAAUUCUUGGAUUUAUUGAAGACUAACUACUGCGAAAGCAUUUGCCAAGGAUGUUUUCAUUAAUCAAGAACGAAAGUUAGGGGAUCGAAGACGAUCAGAUACCGUCGUAGUCUUAACCAUAAACUAUGCCGACUAGGGAUCGGAUGACGUUAAUUUUUUAAUGACUCAUUCGGCGCCUUACA